AGCGAACGCUGGCGGCAGGCCUAACACAUGCAAGUCGAACGAAGUCUUCGGACUUAGUGGCGGACGGGUGAGUAACACGUGGGAACGUGCCUUUAGGUUCGGAAUAACUCAGGGAAACUUGUGCUAAUACCGAAUGUGCCCUUCGGGGGAAAGAUUUAUCGCCUUUAGAGCGGCCCGCGUCUGAUUAGCUAGUUGGUGAGGUAAAGGCUCACCAAGGCGACGAUCAGUAGCUGGUCUGAGAGGAUGAUCAGCCACAUUGGGACUGAGACACGGCCCAAACUCCUACGGGAGGCAGCAGUGGGGAAUCUUGCGCAAUGGGCGAAAGCCUGACGCAGCCAUGCCGGGUGAGUGAUGAAGGUCUUAGGAUUGUAAAAUUCUUUCACCGGGGACGAUAAUGACGGUACCCGGAGAAGAAGCCCCGGCUAACUUCGUGCCAGCAGCCGCAGUAA
rnacentral:rRNA from 1 species